rnacentral:rRNA from 1 species
ACGAACGCUGGCGGCAUGCCUAACCCAUGCAAGUCGCACGAGACCUUCGGGUCUAGUGGCGCACGGGUGCGUAACGCGCGGGAACCUGCCCUUAGGUUCGGAAUAACUCCCCGAAAGGGGUGCUAAUACCGGAUAAUGUCUUCGGACCAAAGAUUUAUCGCCUUUGGAUGGGCCCGCGUUGGAUUAGCUAGUUGGUAGGGUAAAAGCCUACCAAGGCGACGAUCCAUAGCUGGUCUGAGAGGAUGAUCAGCCACACUGGGACUGAGACACGGCCCAGACUCCUACGGGAGGCAGCAGUGGGGAAUAUUGGACAAUGGGCGAAAGCCUGAUCCAGCAAUGCCGCGUGAGUGAUGAAGGCCUUAGGGUUGUAAAGCUCUUUUACCCGGGAUGAUAAUGACAGUACCGGGAGAAUAAGCUCCGGCUAACUCCGUG